ensembl:lncRNA
CCGACCCUAGGAUGGUUCAAACUAAAAGAGGGCAGGUGUAGCAGGGUAUAAGGAAAACAUUACUAUGCUAAGAGCGGUGAGGCGGUGGCUCAGGGUGCACAGAGCAGCAGCAGCACCCUGUCCCUUCACACACCCGAGCUCAGGGGACAGACGUGAGCACUGAUGGAGCUGUGCUGUCCCUGCUCAGUGCACGCAGUGGGACCAGGUGGCCCCGAAGGGCCCAUCUCUUCCAGCUCAGAGCAUUCCUUGAAAGACCAAAACACAACAAGUGCAAGGAAAGCCUAUGGUGACCUCAGCGUGGCUGAACUGAGGCUGUGGAGAGGCAGGAGUGGGGCGGCUUGGUGAGGAGCCAGAAACGAGCCUGCCAGCUCCAGGCCUGCUCAGGUGGCACAGCUGGGAAGAGCACCACCAGCACAGUGAAUUUAUACCAUCACCUGCAUCCAAACAAUAACUCACCAGAUAGACUCGCACGUGGCUGCGGAAGAGACAAGGUAACGCUUUAGGAGCUGCCUAUAAAUCAGUUCUCUUCCUAGAUAUUGAACUACGGCAGAGAAAUGCUCAGUGCUCUUUGACAGUCGUUAUGACUAGUGAGGAUCACUCUCUGAUACCACCUCUUACAUUUAUCCUGGCUCCCUUAUGCAGUAUCCUGGGUUUUACCAUUAGUAGAGAAGGAGUUUAAUAUAUGACAAGAACAACCCUGAAGCCCAAUGAAAAACAAGCCAACAUUUGUUACUUUGAGGACCCGAGGAAGAAGGAAAGGGUUGAUUCCUCAUAUCAGACAGCACGAGGCCUCAACUAACACAUUUUUUUCAUAGAGUGCACAACGUCAUAGACUGGAAAAGCACAUCUUUUAACUACUGUGGGAAAUCAGUAGAUCAAAUUGAGCUACUUCAUAAUUUUGCUGCAGGCUGUACACGGGGCUGUUCACUCUCAACAAUAGGAAGUACGUGCUGUAGCCAAGAGCUCUCGUACAUUCUCCUGCCAAUGGCUUACAUUAAAUUGAGGGAUUCAAAACAAGAAGGAAAAAGCACACGUCUCAUCAGUAACAUGCCUCAUCAGCUCUCUCUUCCCAGAAGGCAGCCAGGCUGACUCCACAGAGACAGAGAGGCCCAAACCAAAGGAAAGGAAGCUCCUACAAUUUCACAGCUACUAACACAGAAAUGCUUCUGCAUGGUACUGCCUCUCCGUGGAGCCCGGCUACUUUGACCUGUACAGCAGGAGAAGAAAGUUAUUAAAAAUUUCAAGUCUGAGCACGAAUUUCCACUGAAAGAAGAUGAAAGUGAAAUGUGAAGUUGCAGAGAAGGGCAUUUUGGUAAAUCCCUGCACAACAUAUGCCACUGAGAAGCUUGUAAAUAGUAUAGCCAUUAUCCUAAAUCCUCAAAACAUCAAAAACAAAGCAUCAGGGCUAAGUGUGUCCUGCCACCCAGGUGUAAUGCAAUGCCUGACUAAGAAAAAAACACCACCAAUUCUCUGUCUCUUAUUAACCAUUACUGGCAAGGUGGCCUGUUGGCUUUCCUGUCCCCAGCACAGAGAGACGAGGGACAGGCAAGAGAUCCAUCU